rnacentral:rRNA from 1 species
UACGUAGGGUGCGAGCGUUACUCGGAAUUACUGGGCGUAAAGCGUGCGCAGGCGGCGCGUUAAGCCAGGUGUGAAAGCCCCGAGCUUAACUUGGGAAUUGCGCUUGUGACUGGCGUGCUGGAGUGUGGCAGAGGGAGGUGGAAUUCCACGUGUAGCAGUGAAAUGCGUAGAGAUGUGGAGGAACACCGAUGGCGAAGGCAGCCUCCUGGGCCAGCACUGACGCUCAUGCACGAAAGCGUGGGGAGCAAACAGG